rnacentral:rRNA from 1 species
CCUACGGGGGACAGCAGUGGGGGAUAUUGCACAAUGGGGGAAACCCUGAUGCAGCAACGCCGCGUGGGGGAAGGAGCGUUUCGGCGCGUAAAGUCCUAUCGGCAGGGAAGAAAAUGACGGUAUCUGACGAAUAAGCACCGGCUAACUACGUGCCAGCAGCCGCGGUAAUACGGAGGGUGCAAGCGUUAUUCGGAUUCACUGGGUGUAAAGAGCGCGCAGACGGGAUUGCAAGUCAGAAGUGAAAUCCCAGGGCUCAACCAUGGGACUGCACUUGGAACUGCAUGGCUGGAGUACAGGAGAGGCAGGCGGAAUUCUUGGUGUAGCGGUAAAAUCCGUAGAGAUCAGGAGGAAUACCGAUGGCGAAGGCGACCUGCUAGACUGUGACUGACGUUGAGGCGCGAAGGCGUGGGGAGCAAACAGGAUUAGAUACCCUAGUAGUC